GGUCCCUGUUAAUUGAGAUGCUCAGUUCCUGUAUUUUUGGGUUUGGAUUUAUUUUCUUUGGUUGCAGGUACUUCCUUAUCUGGGCAGACUGACCUUUGUGAGGGGAAGGUUGGUGUGCCAGCCCAGAUGAUGUGAUCUGCGGAGGUCAUUCUGGACAUGCAGCAGGAUCUAGGAGGACAUGAUAAGUCAUCAUGAACAAAACCUGGGAGAAGCCUUGGAAUGAUUCCUUCAUAUUGUUUAGACCAGUCUGGAACGAAGAGACUCAAGUGACUCAAGUUUAUUGGGAAACACUCUCCUGUAAGAGGGAGAGAUAAAGAAGGGGCCAGGGUCUUGUCCCAGAAGGAAGAAGACCAAGUUCAUCUCUUUCCCAUAUCUUUUCUGGAAACAGAAAUAACUCAAAGAGGCUCAUCCUGAUGUUUGAUUUUGACAGUCCAGGACUUUAGGGA